rnacentral:lncRNA from 1 species
CCAACCGUAUUGCCACUUCGUUUCCUUAAGAACCUCCCCGACAUCGAUACCUUACCCCCCCCCCCGCAGAUUUUACUAGUGGAGCUAGGGAGUUUCCAGUCACUGGGGUGGUGGACAGGGGCUUUUCCUUCAGAGUGUUACAGUGAAUUUCUCCAUUCUUGGAGAGAAGGGCAAAGUUGGGGGCCUUCCUACUUGGGUCCCUGGAUGUUUUUUGCUAGAUAUUGGUAGGAGCAAAGCCAGCCUACGUGGGAGUCCAUCAUAAUACUGGUUCAGAUUUGAUGCAUGGCUAUCCCUUCUUUUUGAUCAAUAUCUGUUCAGUAUAUUGUGUAUGAAAGGAGGUCCACUGUCUCCUCAUAGUUCUGGACGAGGAGUGGUCUCAUCCUGGGUCCUUGGUUGAGCACAAUUGUUGCACGUCCUCCCCAUAAUUCUGGGAGCAAGUGGGAGGCUCCUUGCCCACUUGGUUAGGGAGAGAAGAUGAAUGUUCGUAAUUCAAGGCCGGAUGAGUUCUGUUCCUUUGUUAGAGUAUGGCAUACACAAUCUCAUCAUCCCAAGCCUGGGGUGUUGCUUUUUGAGCUUAUUCAGUUGGAGGAAAAGGUUUGCCUGCUUCAGUGUUUCUUACUUUCUCGUCAUGAUUCCGGUGGUUCAGAAUGCAACACUUUAUGACUACAGGUUGAGAUCCAAUCAAAAGUACAUCUAUAUAUUAUGUUGUGAACCAAUUGCCCUACCCCAUAAUAUUGGAUAUGGUGACCAAAACCCCUUAUUUCCAACCCCAAGUAGUGGAACCUCGGGUGUCUAGUUGGAGCUGGCCUAUAGUGAUGAUUACUCAUGUACAGUUCCACCCUUGAUACAGGAACUAAAUUCAGGGUGAAGAACAUACCUGUUCUGGAUGUAGUGCGGUUCUCCCACUUGGGUACCACUCUUAUUUUGAUACACCCAUCAUCUGUGUAGACGCUUUCUCACCUGCCCUGCCAUCUUCUCAGUGUGGGAUUCUAGCCAUAAGUGGGAGUGGAUGUAUGUAUGUUUUGGAAGUUAACAUUUUCCUUAAUUGAAAAUGUAUUUCCCAUCAUACUUACUUCCUCUCACACUUUCCAACUCUUCCUCCCCAUUAAGAGCUGGUGUUAGAGACUGGGAUUGAGUCAGUCUUGAAAAAGUGAUAAAACUAUCUGAAUGAGGUGCUUAUGUACAGUGAUGGGAUGGAAGGUGCAUUGACAUAGGUGGAGAGUAUCACAAGACAAAUAUUGCCAAGGACAGUUGAGUAGGGGUAUGAAAGACUGGAGCAAGCAAGAAAAAAUCAGAACAAUGCUUGGAUGGGCAAAGAUGAAACCCUAGCAGUUGAAUAAUAGCUACAAGUGUGAGAGGAGGUGAGGUAAGUAUGAUUGGAAAUACAUUUUCAAUUUCAGAAAAUGUUAACUUUUAUCCACUGACUUACCUACAGUUUGGUUAUAGAGUGGAAUCAAAGCUUGUAAAGUAAGUUGUUUGAAAAGUUAUACUUUGGAUAUUUUAAGUACUUCAAUAAUUAUACUGAAGUGUUGUUAUUUUAUAUUGUUAGUGCAGUAGCUAUAUUAAAAAUAAUUAAGCAUUUUAAGUAUGUUUACUUACAUUGGCUUUACUUUCAGAUCUCAUUAAAAGGAGUCUCAUUUGAUGAUGUUUUUCCAAUCAAUUUACAAAACAUCCUGAAAUUAGGUGCCAAGAUUAAUUGAAUGGUAUCGUUAACUCUUAAAAUAUACCAGUGUCAGUGCAACAAUAUUUUUAAGUUGUGAUAAAUACUGAGGCAUAUUUUAUUAUGUAUUUUAAAUCUUUCUCCGUCCUUUAUUAUUACACAUGCGUCCAUCUAUUUAACUUCUCAUUUUAUAAAGGAAUUUAUUAAAGUGUGAUGCAGGUUCUAGAGGUUGUAGUCACAGUGCUGCAUUGAGUUGUUUUAACCUACAUAAAGAUUACUUUUGAUAGUAAUGUUAAUAUGUAUGUCAUAUCAAUUGCCUAUAUAGUAUAUAAUAAUUAUAACCACCCUAAUUUUGUUGUUUUUUAUGCCUUUAAAGCUUCAGUAAUACAGACAUUAUCAUUUAGUUUUAUAAACAGUGUUUGUUGUUGUACAGAAUUUUUCUUUCUUUUUUACUAGUAAUGAAAUAAGCCUGGUAUAAGUUAGGACUGACAUGUGGACUAACGUGUUUGUUGUAUAAAAUUUGGUAUGGAUACUUUUUUGUAUUGUCACAUACAUGAAAAAGACUAACAUUUUAAAUAAAAUAUAUUUGUACCUUUCA